UUUUGGUCCUCAAAGACAGUUUUUGUCGGGUUGAAAUCUGCCGUUUACAACGGUUUUUCGCGAGCUUAUCCCGUGACACGUUUCGUUUUUCUCGUGGCCGUCUUGUGGCUGAAAUGGCAUCUCGCCUCCUGGAAAUCGUAGAUCGAAUUGGAUAAGUAAACUAUUCAGGAAUUAACACACAGAAUAACCAUUGCAAUGAAACGAUCAAGUUUAUUGGUGAUGCCCAUUGUUGCCUGAAAGCACAGUUGCGGAGGAAGCUUUGCUUAGAGGA